GGCGAACGGGUGAGUAAUACAUAAAUAAUCUGCCUCAAUGUCUGGGAUAACUAUUGGAAACGAUAGCUAAUACCGGAUAGCUUGUUAGAAGACAUCUUCUUUCAACUAAAGGAGCGUUCGCUCCGCUUUGAGAUGAGUUUAUGGCGCAUUAGUUAGUUGGCGGGGUAAUGGCCCACCAAGACGAUGAUGCGUAGCCGAUCUGAGAGGAUGACCGGCCACACUGGGACUGAGACACGGCCCAGACUCCUACGGGAGGCAGCAGUAGGGAAUUUUCGGCAAUGGGCGAAAGCCUGACCGAGCAACGCCGCGUGAGUGAUGAAGGCCUUCGGGUUGUAAAGCUCUGUUGUUAGGGAAGAAUGAUCAGGAUAGGAAAUGAUCCUGAAGUGACGGUACCUAACCAGAAAGCCACGGCUAACUACGUGCCAGCAGCCGCGGUAAUACGUAGGUGGCAAGCGUUAUCCGGAAUUAUUGGGCGUAAAGGGUGCGUAGGCGGUUUAGUAAGUCUAAUGUGAAAUUUCAGGGCUCAACUCUGAACUGCAUUAGAAACUAUUAGACUAGAGUGCAGGAGAGGGCAACGGAAUUCCAUGUGUAGCGGUAAAAUGCGUAGAUAUAUGGGAGGAACACCGGUGGCGAAGGCGGUUGCCUGGCCUGUUACUGACACUGAAGCACGAAAGCGUGGGGAGCAAAUAGGAUUAGAUACCCUAGUAGUCCACGCUGUAAACGAUGAAUACUAAGUGUUGGGAUAAAACUCAGUGCUGCAGUUAACGCAAUAAGUAUUCCGCCUGGGGAGUACGCACGCAAGUGUGAAACUCAAAGGAAUUGACGGGACCCCGCACAG
rnacentral:rRNA from 1 species